rnacentral:rRNA from 1 species
UUCGUCGGAUAUAUAGUUUAGCGGCGGACGGGUGAGUAACGCGUGGCAAUCUGCCUACACGACAGGGGAAUAACACUGGGAAACUAGUGCUAAUACCGCAUGAUAUAGUGAAGUGGCAUCACUUUACUAUCAAAGGAGCAAUCCGGUGUGAGAUGAGCCCGCGUCCGAUUAGCUAGUUGGUGAGGUAACGGCCCACCAAGGCGACGAUCGGUAGCCGAACUGAGAGGUUGAUCGGCCACAUUGGGACUGAGACACGGCCCAGACUCCUACGGGAGGCAGCAGUGGGGAAUAUUGCGCAAUGGGGAACCCUUAGACGCAGCAACGCCGCGUGAAGGAUGAAGGUUUUCGGAUUGUAAACUUCUUUGAUUGGGGACGAUAAUGACGGUACCCAAAAACAAGCCACGGCUAACUACGUGCCAGCAGCUGC